UUGGCGUAAAAGAGCUCGUAGGCGGUUUGUCGCGUCUGCCGUGAAAGUCCGGGGCUCAACUCCGGAUCUGCGGUGGUACGGGCCAGACUAGAGUGAUGUAGGGGAGACUGGAAUUCCUGGUGUAGCGGUGAAAUGCGCAGAUAUCAGGAGGAACACCGAUGGCGAAGGCAGGUCUCUGGGCAUUAACUGACGCUGAGGAGCGAAAGCAUGGGAGCGAACAGGAUUAGAUACCCUGGUAGUCCAUGCCGUAAACGUUGGGCACUAGGUGUGGGGGACAUUCCACGUUUUCCGCGCCGUAGCUAACGCAUUAAGUGCCCCGCCUGGGGAGUACGGCCGCAAGGCUAAAACUCAAAGGAAUUGACGGGGGCCCGCACAAGCGGCGGAGCAUGCGGAUUAAUUCGAUGCAACGCGAAGAACCUUACCAAGGCUUGACAUGAACUGGAAAUACCUGGAAACAGGUGCCCCGCUUGCGGUCGGUUUACAGGUGGUGCAUGGUUGUCGUCAGCUCGUGUCGUGAGAUGUUGGGUUAAGUCCCGCAACGAGCGCAACCCUCGUUCUAUGUUGCCAGCACGUUAUGGUGGGGACUCAUAGGAGACUGCCGGGGUCAACUCGGAGGAAGGGGAGGACGACGUCAAAUCAUCAUGCCCCUUAUGUCUUGGGCUUCACGCAUGCUACAAUGGCCGGUACAAUGGGUUGUGAUACUGUGAGGUGGAGCUAAUCCCAAAAAGCCGGUCUCAGUUCGGAUUGGGGUCUGCAACUCGACCCCAUGAAGUCGGAGUCGCUAGUAAUCGCAGAUCAGC
rnacentral:rRNA from 1 species